AGUCUUCUACUCCACAGUCU
rnacentral:misc_RNA from 1 species